UACGUAGGGUCCGAGCGUUGUCCGGAAUUAUUGGGCGUAAAGAGCUCGUAGGCGGUCUGUCGCGUCGGUCGUGAAAACUUGGGGCUUAACCCUGAGCUUGCGGUCGAUACGGGCAUGACUGGAGUUCGGCAGGGGAGACUGGAAUUCCUGGCGUAGCGGUGAAAUGCGCAGAUAUCAGGAGGAACACCGGUGGCGAAGGCGGGUCUCUGGGCCGUAACUGACGCUGAGGAGCGAAAGCGUGGGGAGCGAACAGG
rnacentral:rRNA from 1 species